rnacentral:rRNA from 1 species
GCUCAAUUUUAAAAUGGAUCUUCCCGCCGGAGCACNACGAGCUACAGCUUAAAACUCAAAGGACUUGGCGGUGCCUACACCCACCUAGAGGAGCCUGUUCUAUAAUCGACACCCCCCGAUAAACCUCACCACUUCUUGCUAAUACAGCCUAUAUACCACCGCCCUAGUUUACCUUUUAAAAGAAUAAUAGUGAACAAAAUAAUUAAAAAUAAAAAAGUCAGGUCAAGGUGUAGCAAAUGAAAUGGAAAGAGAUGGGCUACAUUUUUUAUANUAAAAAACACGGAAUAUUAUAUGAAAUAAAAUAUAAAGGAGGAUUUAGAAGUAAAAAGAAAAAAGAGUGUUCUUUUUAAAUCGGCAAUAGAGCACGCACACACCGCCCGUCACCCUUUUCAAAAAUAAAAUAAUUUAAAUAAAUAUAUACAUUUAUAAGAAAAGGAAAGU